GGCGGCGUAGCUCAGGGGUAGAGCAGAGGACUCAUAAGCCUUUGGCCGUAGGUUCAAUUCCUGCCGCCGCCA
rnacentral:tRNA from 1 species